GGUCAGGCAUCCAUGGCCUAUGGGCUGGGCAGGAGCUCUGAUCCAGACAACCUGCAGCCACCCCUGUGGGAGGAAGGAGGACACAGACGUCUCACUACUGUACAGAAGACAAGGUAUGCAGCUCCACUCAGUGUUACAUGGGGGCAGAAGGUGAAUCAGACUGUACUUGCAUACCCUGAGAGCCCUGUGGACUUUUGUAGGAGAGCAGUGGAAAGUCUCCAACAGUGGCAAUGGUGCUGUUGUAUCACAUGAGGGACAAGGAUGAUAAAAAAAACAGGUGAAGUGCAUUCUUCUGGUGGCUGAGAAGAGCUGCAUCUUUCUCCAUUGCUGUAGUAGGGCACAUGACAAGGAAGAAAAUGUCCAGAUAAAAAAUUCUCCCACAGACCUUCCAUUUCCUGCUGAAUUUUCUCAGCACAAUGACACAGGAGGUACUAAACUCCAGUGGUUUGUGUCUGCAGGCAGCUUUACAGCACAGAAAAGGAGACAUACUGAAUGACAGUUUCAGCUGUCACAAACCUGAAGGAUCAAGUGGACGAUCAAUGAUAUUGAUAUACAAGCAGAUCAAUGACAGAAUGUGUACGACAAAAAUUUUAUUGAGACAAUUCUCAUAAUAUGCAUUAAGAAUUGAAUAUGUCAAGUUUAACAUGAAUAGAUAGAUAGAUAGAUAGAGAGAUACACAGACAGACAGAAGGACAGAACUGGAAUGCGGAACUGUCUACCCUGUACAAAGAUAAGUGGUUGGGGAAAUAUUCUAUUUAUAUUCGAUCAGUACAUAAAUAUUACAGUUUCCAUGGUGUUGGUAUUUGUCAAACUACUUUCUAAGGAGAAGCUCAAAUACUGAAUAGUUAAAUGACUAAGAAUGUCUUUUGAAUGUUAGUUACUUCAAAAACUUAGUAUGUAACAAUAUCCACCCAAAGCAUUUACAAAUUCCAAACCACCACAAUUAUUUUUGAAAUUAUAACCCCUCCCAUGAAAUAUGUAUAAACAGAACUCUCCCUAGUGAGUGCUUGAAAAUCUGUCCCUUUGGCCCCAGUCUUUGGUUCCUUGGUUAGUUAAUUAAUAGGCUUUUCCCAGAAAAUAAAUUUCAUACAAAUCCAAACA
rnacentral:lncRNA from 1 species